rnacentral:rRNA from 1 species
UACGGGGGGGGGCAAGCGUUGUUCGGAAUUACUGGGCGUAAAGGGCUCGUAGGCGGCCAACUAAGUCAGACGUGAAAUCCCUAGGCUCAACCUAGGAACUGCGUCUGAUACUGGAUGGCUUGAAUCCGGGAGAGGGAUGCGGAAUUCCAGGUGUAGCGGUGAAAUGCGUAGAUAUCUGGAGGAAUACCGGUGGCGAAGGCGGCAUCCUGGACCGGCAUUGACGCUGAUGAGCGAAAGCUAGGGGAGCAAACGGG